rnacentral:rRNA from 1 species
UACGAAGGGGGCUAGCGUUGCUCGGAAUUACUGGGCGUAAAGGGCGCGUAGGCGGUGCUUUUGGUCAGGCGUGAAAUUCCUGGGCUUAACCUGGGGACUGCGCUUGAGACGGGUGUGCUGGAGGGCAGGAGAGGCUCGCGGAAUUCCCAGUGUAGAGGUGAAAUUCGUAGAUAUUGGGAAGAACACCGGUGGCGAAGGCGGCGAGCUGGCCUGUACCUGACGCUGAGGCGCGACAGCGUGGGGAGCAAACAGG